UGACAGGAAGUGGAGAACAAUGGCGAAUAGUGAUGGCAGUAAACAGGAGCUCGCUGGUUGUUAGGUUGUUCUGCGAAUGUUUUAGCUUUUAGGUUUCUUGAGAAAAUUUAAAGAGGGGAUUGCAAGGAGUUUAAAAAAUGAUUUUGCUUUGGACUAUCAUCACUGCUAACCCACGAUGAAUAGUAGAAGAGGUUGGUCCUCUAGUUAGUAGAAAAAAAAGAAAGAGAGCAAGAACUUGAUAUCA
rnacentral:lncRNA from 1 species